CACGUAGGCACCAAGCGUUUUCCGGCUUUCUUGGGCGUAAAGAGCUCGUAGGCGGUUCGGUAAGUCGGGUGUGAAAACUCUGGGCUCAACCCAGAGCCGCCACCCGAUACUGCUGUGACUCGAGUGCGGUAGGGGAGCGGGGAAUUCCUGGUGUAGCGGUGAAAUGCGCAGAUAUCAGGAGGAACACCAGUGGCGAAGGCGCCGCUCUGGGCCGUGACUGACGCUGAGGAGCGAAAGUGUGGGGAGCAAACAGG
rnacentral:rRNA from 1 species